rnacentral:tRNA from 1 species
CUCUCAAUAGCUCAGUGGUAGAGCAGCUGACUGUAGAUCAGCGGGUCGCUGGUUCGACUCCGGCUUGGGAGA